GAUGAACGCUGGCGGCGUGCUUAACACAUGCAAGUCGAACGGUGAAGGCGGAGCUUGCUCUGCUGGAUCAGUGGCGAACGGGUGAGUAACACGUGAGCAAUCUGCCCCUGACUCUGGGAUAAGCGCUGGAAACGGCGUCUAAUACUGGAUACGAGCUGCGCAGGCAUCUUCAGCAGCUGGAAAGAGGUUCGGUCAGGGAUGAGCUCGCGGCCUAUCAGCUUGUUGGUGAGGUAAUGGCUCACCAAGGCGUCGACGGGUAGCCGGCCUGAGAGGGUGACCGGCCACACUGGGACUGAGACACGGCCCAGACUCCUACGGGAGGCAGCAGUGGGGAAUAUUGCACGAUGGGCGAAAGCCUGAUGCAGCAACGCCGCGUGAGGGACGACGGCCUUCGGGUUGUAAACCUCUUUUAGCAGGGAAGAAGCGAAAGUGACGGUACCUGCAGAAAAAGCGCCGGCUAACUACGUG
rnacentral:rRNA from 1 species